rnacentral:rRNA from 1 species
GAUGAACGCUGGCGGCGUGCCUAAUACAUGCAAGUCGAGCGAACAGACGAGGAGCUUGCUCCUCUGACGUUAGCGGCGGACGGGUGAGUAACACGUGGAUAACCUACCUAUAAGACUGGGAUAACUUCGGGAAACCGGAGCUAAUACCGGAUAAUAUAUUGAACCGCAUGGUUCAAUAGUGAAAGACGGUUUUGCUGUCACUUAUAGAUGGAUCCGCGCCGCAUUAGCUAGUUGGUAAGGUAACGGCUUACCAAGGCAACGAUGCGUAGCCGACCUGAGAGGGUGAUCGGCCACACUGGAACUGAGACGGUCCAGACUCCUACGGGAGGCAGCAGUAGGGAAUCUUCCGCAAUGGGCGAAAGCCUGACGGAGCAACGCCGCGUGAGUGAUGAAGGUCUUCGGAUCGUAAAACUCUGUUAUUAGGGAAGAACAAAUGUGUAAGUAACUAUGCACGUCUUGACGGUACCUAAUCAGAAAGCCACGGCUAACUACGUG